CCUACGGGCGGCAGCAGUGGGGAAUAUUGCACAAUGGGGGAAACCCUGAUGCAGCGACGCCGCGUGAGUGAAGAAGUAUUUCGGUAUGUAAAGCUCUAUCAGCAGGGAAGAAAAUGACGGUACCUGAUUAAGAAGCCACGGCUAACUACGUGCCAGAAGCCGCGGUCAUACGUAGGGGGCAAGCGAUAUCCGGAUUUACUGGGGGUAAAGGGAGCGGAGACGGCAGCGCAAGUCUGAAGUGAAAUGCCGGGGCUUAACCCCGGAACUGCUUUGGAAACUGUGCAGCUAGAGUGAAGGAGAGGUAAGUGGAAUUCCUAGUGAAGCGGUGAAAUGCGUAGAUAUUAGGAGGAACACCAGUGGCGAAGGCGGCUUACUGGACUGUAACUGACGUUGAGGCUCGAAAGCGUGGGGAGCAAACAGGAUUAGAUACCCGUGUAGUC
rnacentral:rRNA from 1 species